rnacentral:rRNA from 1 species
AUUGAACGCUGGCGGCAGGCCUAACACAUGCAAGUCGAGCGGAUGAAGGGAGCUUGCUCCUGGAUUCAGCGGCGGACGGGUGAGUAAUGCCUAGGAAUCUGCCUGGUAGUGGGGGAUAACGUCCGGAAACGGGCGCUAAUACCGCAUACGUCCUGAGGGAGAAAGUGGGGGAUCUUCGGACCUCACGCUAUCAGAUGAGCCUAGGUCGGAUUAGCUAGUUGGUGGGGUAAAGGCCUACCAAGGCGACGAUCCGUAACUGGUCUGAGAGGAUGAUCAGUCACACGGGAACUGAGACACGGUCCAGACUCCUACGGGAGGCAGCAGUGGGGAAUAUUGGACAAUGGGCGAAAGCCUGAUCCAGCCAUGCCGCGUGUGUGAAGAAGGUCUUCGGAUUGUAAAGCACUUUAAGUUGGGAGGAAGGGCAGUAAGUUAAUACCUUGCUGUUUUGACGUGACCAACAGAAUAAGCACCGGCGAACUUCGG